AAGAGGGGGAAGCGGCCUUCCUCGAUGGAGAAACUGCUGCUUUACAGCACGGGACUGCAGUGGGGGGGGGACAGCUCAUUGUCUGCGCAGCCCGAGCGCUGGUCAGCCCUGCGGGGCCGCCGCUGGCAGGGGACCCGCUGGCCAGCCCCAUCUUCCCCUUGCACCCGCCUUCGCUCGCGGCACGGUGCUGCAAGACCAUCCAAGGCACAGAGCGGCCUCCGUGCCGGUGCCAGCUGGGCAGCGCUGCCUGGGCUUCCCUCAGCAGCACACAUUCAUGCAUUCGUCCUUGGAGAAAAUUGCUCACCUCAAGGCUGGGCAGACGAUGCUGGCCCCACAGAGUCAGGAAGCUGGCAGGGGAGGGAGCCUCGUUUGUAACCCACCUCGACAAGGUUACCCUGCCGGCUCCCCGCAGUCACCCACCUGACCCUUUGACAGCAACCAAGAGACAAGGGCAAGGCAAGUGCUUUUUGUUUCUUUUCAAUCCACAGGAGGUGUGCUGCAAAAUGGAGGUGACCAGGCUCAGGUCCCUCCUUGCUCCCUGUAGGCACCUGCACACGCGCAGCCCUAUCCCGUCCUCUCCAUGCACAGGUACGCACAGAGCCGUAGCAACAAGGACGGCGGCCGUGUGCAGGAGGCGCACCAGCAGUAAGUACGGGCGUCAGGAGGACAGUUUUUCCACCAAAACGGUGCGAGGGUACAUUGCUGCCUGGCUGCAUGACAUUUAUGUGACAGCUGACAGAGCAUGUGUUUGUGUACCAUCACCAGCUUCCUCCACCACCACCCCCUUUCCCUUUGUAACUUUCAAUGGAAAAAUGUGUGGGCAGUUUCCAUUCUGCCUGCACUGCUUCCAACAAAUUAAGGGGUUGGCUAAGAAAUGACGGGUUUCAUAUUUCAUACAAAACACACACACAUGCAUAUAUUUAUACAUAUACAUAUAUAUAUAUAUGUGUGUGUGUAUGUAUGUAUGUAUGUAUGUGUAUGUAUGUAUGUAUGUAUGUAAAUUAAUUCAGGAUAUCCUCUAGUCAUGCACUUUCUAGCAGUACCUUGCAAGCACAGUAUCCGCAGGAACAGAAGAGCGCUUCCUUUUUGGCCUGCAUAGAGAGAUGAGGCAAUUUUUGCGCUCAGAUGGGGGAGAGGAGGAACGGGAAGCUGACCUGGCAGAAGCCGUUCCUUGAUUCUGCCCUUAACUUUCUGAGUAGCAGGUUUAUACAUAUCGCCUUUGCAGCUGCGUUGCUAAAGCCACCUAUGCCUUUCAUGACUGUGCUUA
rnacentral:lncRNA from 1 species